UACGUAGGUGGCCAGCGUUGUCCGGAUUUACUGGGCGUAAAGAGCGCGCAGGCGGUCGGGCAAGUCGAGUGUGAAAGCCCCCGGCUCAACUGGGGAGGGUCACUCGAUACUGAUCGACUUGAAGGCAGGAGAGGGAAGCGGAAUUCCCGGUGUAGUGGUGAAAUGCGUAGAUAUCGGGAGGAACACCAGUUGCGAAGGCGGCUUCCUGGACUGUUCUUGACGCUGAGGCGCGAAAGCUAGGGGAGCAAACGGG
rnacentral:rRNA from 1 species